UGCCCUGGCAGUCAGAGGCGAUGAAGGACGUGCUAAUCUGCGAUAAGCGUCGGUAAGGUGAUAUGAACCGUUAUAACCGGCGAUUUCCGAAUGGGGAAACCCAGUGUGUUUCGACACACUAUCAUUAACUGAAUCCAUAGGUUAAUGAGGCGAACCGGGGGAACUGAAACAUCUAAGUACCCCGAGGAAAAGAAAUCAACCGAGAUUCCCCCAGUAGCGGCGAGCGAACGGGGAGCAGCCCAGAGCCUGAAUCAGUGUGUGUGUUAGUGGAAGCGUCUGGAAAGGCGCGCGAUACAGGGUGACAGCCCCGUACACAAAAAUGCACAUGCUGUGAGCUCGAUGAGUAGGGCGGGACACGUGGUAUCCUGUCUGAAUAUGGGGGGACCAUCCUCCAAGGCUAAAUACUCCUGACUGACCGAUAGUGAACCAGUACCGUGAGGGAAAGGCGAAAAGAACCCCGGCGAGGGGAGUGAAAAAGAACCUGAAACCGUGUACGUACAAGCAGUGGGAGCACGCUUAGGCGUGUGACUGCGUACCUUUUGUAUAAUGGGUCAGCGACUUAUAUUCUGUAGCAAGGUUAACCGAAUAGGGGAGCCGAAGGGAAACCGAGUCUUAACUGGGCGUUAAGUUGCAGGGUAUAGACCCGAAACCCGGUGAUCUAGCCAUGGGCAGGUUGAAGGUUGGGUAACACUAACUGGAGGACCGAACCGACUAAUGUUGAAAAAUUAGCGGAUGACUUGUGGCUGGGGGUGAAAGGCCAAUCAAACCGGGAGAUAGCUGGUUCUCCCCGAAAGCUAUUUAGGUAGCGCCUCGUGAAUUCAUCUCCGGGGGUAGAGCACUGUUUCGGCAAGGGGGUCAUCCCGACUUACCAACCCGAUGCAAACUGCGAAUACCGGAGAAUGUUAUCACGGGAGACACACGGCGGGUGCUAACGUCCGUCGUGAAGAGGGAAACAACCCAGACCGCCAGCUAAGGUCCCAAAGUCAUGGUUAAGUGGGAAACGAUGUGGGAAGGCCCAGACAGCCAGGAUGUUGGCUUAGAAGCAGCCAUCAUUUAAAGAAAGCGUAAUAGCUCACUGGUCGAGUCGGCCUGCGCGGAAGAUGUAACGGGGCUAAACCAUGCACCGAAGCUGCGGCAGCGACGCUGAUGCGUUGUUGGGUAGGGGAGCGUUCUGUAAGCCUGUGAAGGUGUGCUGUGAGGCAUGCUGGAGGUAUCAGAAGUGCGAAUGCUGACAUAAGUAACGAUAAAGCGGGUGAAAAGCCCGCUCGCCGGAAGACCAAGGGUUCCUGUCCAACGUUAAUCGGGGCAGGGUGAGUCGACCCCUAAGGCGAGGCCGAAAGGCGUAGUCGAUGGGAAACAGGUUAAUAUUCCUGUACUUGGUGUUACUGCGAAGGGGGGACGGAGAAGGCUAUGUUGGCCGGGCGACGGUUGUCCCGGUUUAAGCGUGUAGGCUGGUUUUCCAGGCAAAUCCGGAAAAUCAAGGCUGAGGCGUGAUGACGAGGCACUACGGUGCUGAAGCAACAAAUGCCCUGCUUCCAGGAAAAGCCUCUAAGCAUCAGGUAACAUCAAAUCGUACCCCAAACCGACACAGGUGGUCAGGUAGAGAAUACCAAGGCGCUUGAGAGAACUCGGGUGAAGGAACUAGGCAAAAUGGUGCCGUAACUUCGGGAGAAGGCACGCUGAUAUGUAGGUGAAGCGACUUGC
rnacentral:rRNA from 1 species